UACAGGAGGUCUCAAGCGUUUGUUCGGAUUCAUUGGGCGUAAAGGGUGCGUAGGUGGCGCUGUAAGUCGGGUGUGAAAUUUCGGAGCUUAACUCCGAAACUGCAUUCGAUACUGCGGUGCUUGAGGACUGGAGAGGAGACUGGAAUUCAUGGUGUAGCAGUGAAAUGCGUAGAGAUCAUGAGGAAGACCAGUGGCGAAGGCGGGUCUCUGGACAGUUCCUGACACUGGAGGCACGAAGGCCAGGGGAGCAAACGGG
rnacentral:rRNA from 1 species